UAAAACAACGGUUCCCAUAUGAUGACCAAAGUUAAGCAUCAUUGAGUUUGGUCAAUACCUAGAUAGGUGACCACUUGGGAAUACUAGGUGCUGUAAG